CAGUCACCUUCAUCCUCCGGAAACCCUCUCACUCUUGCCAUUAAGAGUCGUCGCCUCCCACUCACGACUCACCUGCACUACUCUCCACAUUGACCGUCGUCACUCCUCUUCGCCAUCGCUUGCACUGAUCGUCGCUGUGCGGCCCUCACCAUCAUCGCUGCACCGCUCUCACCAUCGUCAUCUCCGUGCUUCUCAUCAUCGUCUUCGCUGUGCUCACAUCAUCGAAUAGUUUGAAUGGUUUCUUGGUUAGCCAGAAAUAGAAAUGGUGUGAAGAAUGUAAAGAAUGAAAAGAAGACAAGAAGUAGAGAAGAAGUAGAAGAGGAAGAAGAAAGGUGAGCUGAAUUAGCUAAAACAUU